rnacentral:tRNA from 1 species
GCCCGGGUGGCGAAACUGGCAGACGCACGGGACUUAAAAUCCCGAGGGGCUCACCGCUCCGUGAGGGUUCAACUCCCUCCCCGGGCACCA